rnacentral:rRNA from 1 species
GAUGAACGCUGGCGGCGUGCUUAACACAUGCAAGUCGAACGGAAAGGCCCGGCGUUUGUGGGGUGCUCGUUUGGCGAACGGGGGAGUAACACGUGAGUAACCUGCCCUUGACUUUGGGAUAACUUCAGGAAACUGGGGCUAAUACCGGAUAGGAGCUCCUGCUGCAUGGUGGGGGUUGGAAAGUUUCGGCGGUUGGGGAUGGACUCGCGGCUUAUCAGCUUGUUGGUGGGGUAGUGGCUUACCAAGGCUUUGACGGGUAGCCGGCCUGAGAGGGUGACCGGCCACAUUGGGCCUGAGAUACGGCCCAGACUGCUACGGGAGGCAGCAGUGGGGAAUAUUGCACAAUGGGCGGAAGCCUGAUGCAGCAACGCCGCGUGCGGGAUGACGGCCUUCGGGUUGUAAACCGCUUUCGCAUGUGACGAAGCGUGAGUGACGGUAAUGGGUAAAGAAGCACCGGCUAACUACGUG